rnacentral:rRNA from 1 species
UACGGAGGGUGCAAGCAUUAAUCGGAAUUAUUGGGCGUAAAGGGCGCGUAGGCGGAAAUGUAAGUCAGAUGUGAAAUUCCGAGACUCAAUUUCGGAGCUGCAUUUGAAACUACAUAUCUUGAGGAUUGGCGGAGAGAACGGAAUUCCACGUGUAGCGGUGAAAUGCGUAGAUAUGUGGAAGAACACCGGUGGCGAAAGCGGUUCUCUAGCUUAUGCCUGACGCUGAGGCGCGAGAGCAAGGGGAGCAAACAGG